UAACGCAUUAAGUUACGAUGCAUAUUGUCACUUAAUAUGUCACAAUUUAAUCCUCAUUUACGUACACACUCUUAGCAAAGCGGUGUUAAAACUCACAAAAAAAUCAUAACCGUCAUUCCGUGAUAACAAACAUGACCAGCACGGAAAUAAUAUUGUCUCCAAAAUUGUAUCCGGGGACAUGGAAAAUUAACACCGUUGACAUUAAGGCAAACGACAUGUAGCAGUAUUAAAUUUAAUACAUUACGGAAUAAAAUUCUAACCGUAUUAUGUUAAAAUUAACACCCAAUUAACACCCAAUUAACAGACACUAGAGCAGAGUUGAAUGGUCUCCGUCAACGGUAACGGCAUUUCACACACAGCGGAGACAAAUUCAAUUCCUUUCGGUGAGGGCUUUAUUACAAAAAUGUAACAAUCUCAGCCCGGCAAGCUCACAAAUUUUUUAGCUUGCUUUCUGCACCGCAAGCAGCGACAUGGAGAGAAAACUAGUCCGAGUUUGAAGAAAUUAAUUGUCUCCCCAACUAAUUAUCUGAAUUUAAUAGGAACGAGGAAUAAGAUCGUGCGAAGUCUGUCCCAUCCUUCUCAAGCAUCCAUCAAUUUCCUGGUCAAAAGCGAAAUUUUGAGGUCACGCUGGGCUCUCCAUAUAUGCUAACUCAACUCGUCGCCGGUUGCAGUAUUACAGCAAUCCACUGCACAGAUUUUGGCAUAUUUUGGAGGUACUUCUGUACAGAUUUUGGCAUUGGCAGAUUUUAGCACUUCACGAAACAGAUUGUCAGAAAAAGUGACAGCUUGCAACGAGAGAGAUUGCUUCGACACGUCCUCCCAAGCAAAUUACCGAGUUCUACUGUAUUCAAAGAUGGGAACACCAAUUCAAUCAAUUCCGGACACCUGGAAAUUGAACAAUUUGCAGCCUUGUCUUAUCUAUCUUGGAGACCAUCGAAACCAAUUAUCCAGUUUCUACAUUGUUUGUUGCAGUCUAAUCUUUCCGCUAGCAGUUCAGGCGACAGCAAUUUUAUUCUACACACUAAGCUAAACAACUCUACAUACAGCCGCAAAAAUAUUUUCCACAGUAGAGCAAUUAAGUUAUCUACUACUAAACGACAAAUGUUUUGUUGUCCAGAAUGUAAAAAAUUGAAUUUAGAACAAUUAAGAUAUAGUACCGAAAUUUUAGUUACAGAGAUAAUUUAGCAGUUUGUUUUGGAAUGGGGCCGAUUUGUUCAAAUUUAGAGAUAAUAUCUGAUCUUACAAUUGCAGACGCUGAACCUUGCUUACUACUCUUAACAAAACUCGAAAUUCUAAAAUUAUGUGCUUCAUACAUUAUCUUUCAUAGGUUAUGAAUAAUGUUCAAGAGUUCAUCUACUUUAAUGACUUAUUAAUAACAUAAAACUGUAAUUAAA